AUUAGAAUGCUUUAUAUCAUUCACUGUCUUUAUGAAAAUCACAAUGUGGACAUUUCUCACUGUUGAAGUUUAUUUUGAUAUCAGUUGUUGGCAAUGAGUUUGUGAAAGACUCGGUGAAGUUUUCGAACCAAUCUACAACAUUUGGACAAGCAUUCAAUAAUUUCACCCGUUCUAGAAAUGAAAAAGAUUCUGGUAAAGCAAUUGAUGUUGAAGCUGAAAUUAAAGAUGUAGACUGAGUCUUCACAGCUAUAACAUGUUGGAUGACUACACUGAACACCAAUCUAAUUAGGUUAAAGAACAGGCCGUGGCUUGCAUUUUCCGUUGUAUUGAAGACACAAUGAAUGACACACAUUCAAGAGAGAAUAGUGUGAUGAGCAAAGUAACACAUUCUAGAGAGGAGUGUGGUGAGCAGAGUAACAUUGCAAUUGUAAUAUAAGUUUUGACAGUAAUGUUUCUCAGGUCACACCUCUAUUAUUUUGGUGUACCAAAAUCCUGCUUCAUUUUUUCCUUUCAUUGUUACAUAAAAAGCUUAGAAGGAAUAAAGAUGCGUCAUUUCAAUGUCA